GGCUCUGACAUGGCUGUGUUUGCCUUAAAAAACAGAGGGGCAAAGUGUGCAUGAGCUAAAACUCUUUUUUCCAAGGAACAUACAUCAGCAAUAAUGAGACCAUUUUCUGAAUUAUUGGCUUCCCCAUCCAUGACCAUUCCCCCACAGUAGUCCAUUUGGCACUUCACCUCCAAAAGGGUCAACGCAUCUACGUCACCAAAGCAAAUGCCCAACAACAGACCCUGGCUCCACAAGAUACCACCCUUAUGGCGUUCUUUGUUUUGUGCCCAAGUGACCCAUUUGCUGCCAACCUGCUUUACCAUUAAGUUCCCUCCUACUAUACAUGGACUGCUUAAAAAAUAUGGAAGCGACGUGCUGCUGAUGGUGAAUCUGAUGCCUUAGGACGAGUCUACACAGUUCAUCCCAACAAUGAGCAGUGCUACUUUCUCCAAAUGCUUCUUUGUGUUGCCAAAGGGCACAAAUCUUUCCAAGACCUCUAAACAGUGGAAUGAGUUGUCUGUCAAACAUACAGGGAAGCUUGCAAUCUUCGUGCAAUUCUUGCGCAUGAUCACCAUCUUCAUAAAGCUAUGACAUAAGCUUAUUUUGGUCAGUCCCAUUUCCAACUGACAUUGCUCUUCUGCAUAAAUCUUCAAGUUUGCAGCCCAUCUAACCACAUGGGACUCUGGCAAAAAUACAAAGAGGGCAUGAGUGAGGACAUCCUCCACGGAGCUCGAUGAGAAAAUACAAACCUCGACGUCAACUUUUCUGAUGUCAUCUUCAAACAGGCCCUCAUCCUCCUUCAGGACAAACUGCACUCCAUUGGUGGAAGAGACCUCACGUCUAUGGGACUACCAACAGCCUACAGGGACAACCUGCAUGCCCUUGCUCAAGAGAUCCUACAUUAAAUAUGCUAUUAUGCUUUACAGCUUCUUAAAUUGAUUUAGGAAAAUUAAACUAAGCUGAUGGAUGCACUAAUAAAAGCCUACACGAAAAUAUUGGAAGACAUUGAGACUACAAAUCGAGUCUUUUUUUUCUUUGAUGCACCUGCUAGUACUGGGAAGAUCUUUGUUUUCAAACUGCCCCUCUCUAAGGCUCACCAGAGAGAGAAAAUUGCUCUAGCUGUGGCAUCAUCGGGGAUUGCUGUGUAAGUCGAUGUGUGUGUGUGAGUCCCUAUAUGUGUGUGUUAGUCGAUAUGUGUGUAAGUCUAUUUGUGUGUGUGAGUCGAUGUGUGUGUGUAACUCCAUGUGUGUCUCUAAAGUCGAUGUCUGUCUGUGUGAGUCUAUAUGUGUGUGUGCGUGUACGUCGAUGUGUUUCUAUGUGUGUUGGUCGAUAUCUGUGUGUAAGUCGAUGUGUGUGUCUGUCUUUUUCUCCCGGGCAAUGCCGGGUACUUACCGCUAGUUAUUAAAUAAAAACGUGUUGCCUCCUAAGAAGACUCUGUCUCCAUACAACCCACUACACUUGCAUUGCAAUUGAAUAAUUAUUGCACAUGCAAUGUGCCCUCCUGCUAAUGGGGAAUUACGCUCGCACCAAGUGCUGGGCCCUUGUCAAGCAACUCCAUAGCAAGUGCGUGGGACAAGUCAAGCCACUCCACUGCAAGUACUGGGCCUUGUCAAGCCACUCCACUGCAAGUACGUGGGUAUUAUUCAGGGAGCACGUGGCCUUGCAGCAUCCCAGUGGCCAAGACUUCGGUCCCAGGGCCAGGACAAGCACGGACCGAGUCCGGGCCGGGACAGAGGCGGAACAACAAAGCGGACCUCUACCCCCUUGAGUCCUCCUCGGAGGGUCAUCUCCACGACCACCAGGGACCUCGUCAACCCGACUCCCGUGACACUUUGACCCUGUACGACACUACGUUGUUAGGUCAUCCAGACCCAGGACAAUAAGGGGAAAGUCUACAUCCCAGACCCACGGCGGCGAGGCGCUAGUGUUUUUGGGACGGGGGUAGGUGGUUGAUUGAGCAUGUCUAGAGGAUAUGCUCUGUAUUGUGCUGAUCGUGGUGUGCGAGUUGGGUCGUUGAUUGUACGCUGUUGCGUUCCGUUAAUAGUUGUUGCGUCGCGAGGUAGAGACUGCACAUGUUGACCUAGAAUCUAGUGCAGCAAAUCUACUCUGUAGAGACGGUACCAACCUCCCUUCCGUUAGAUUUAUGAUCUCUGCUCAUCGAGUGCAGUGCGUUUGAUUGCGUAAUUGCUUGAGGUUGCUUAGCCUGCAUAUUUCUGGGUGAAUACAUAUUGCAGCCUAAGCGUUAUUGCUUUGAUCUUGCUCCUUCCAACGGGUGGCCAACCGAACCAGUCACUUGAUCCGUCAAUCCCUCACCUUGACAGGCACAGGGUCCUUUGCGUAACAUCAUCUUUCUACCUAUCAAUGUAAAUUCACGCGUGCAUUUCUGACAUUGACUCUUGAAUACUGUACACUUCAUGUAUUGAUGGGGUGGAAGCUGUAGCUCAGUUCCUGAGUUUGAUUCCUAGCUAUGGUUAACAUUGGUGGUGAGGUAGAAUCUGGACCUAUCCUGAGCUCACUCUUCACUAACCAACCCUGAGCAGUGUAUGUAUGUUGAAUUUCUUUCGCAUCCUACUUAGCCAACCGUGCUAAUCGGAGUGUGGUGAAGUUUGGUCAAAAACGCAUCAAGGAGGCCUUCAUCCAGCAGUGGACUGACAAAGGGCUAUAUAUAACAAAAAAAAGUAAUUUCUUGUUCAAAUCAGCUGAAGGCAGUGCUUGUCUCCUGCUGACAGCCCUGGGCCAGUGGCGGAGAUUCCACAUUCCUAUUUGCAGGGAUGAGUCUUUCCAGAGCACAACCACAGUUGACCCUUCUCACAAAAGUGGUACUUAUCCUUUCGACCUCAGAGGGAUAAUGGGCUUCGUCAACCUGCAACUAGGAUUUUAACUCGCGACCUUCCGACUGCGAGCCACUCACUCCACCGCUGAGCCGCCUCGCCGGUUUUUAUGGGGACACUGUGAAAGUAACGUCCCCCCCUCCUCUCCUCCUCUCUGUCUCUAAAGAAUACCAAGGGCAAGAGAAGGAGCGUGCAGCUUCACUUCGUUACUCGAGCUCCAGGGCUCUCCGGUUCUUCUUAGGGCUGUUCUCCUGAACGUAUUCCUCUCUGUCGGCAUUCACCACUGAAGCAUGAGAAUUCAGGCUGCUGAGGAUCGUUGCUGUCUCGUGUCGACCAUGGCAGGCCUUGUCAUGCACAACCCCAGGCGACUGUGGAGGCUGCUCGUAAGCCCUGCUUGAUGAUGUCGUUGAAAUUGGACGCCAUGGCGGGGAGGUGAACCGUCGCCACGUUGCGUGGGUCGCUCCCCGAAUCCCUCCUGCCCUCGUCGCCUCGCCUUGACCUGUCCAGCGCUCCGCCGGUGACCUCCGCGUCUCG